AUAGUUACCUGACAGGGGAGAUAUCAUAUUCAUGAAGGUGGUUUUCCCAGGGUGAGGCACACCCAUUGCACUCCAGGUGUGCUGCCUCCUGCAAUUUCCCCAAAUGUGGGAAACUCAAGUGCAUCAUUUGUGGUAGUAGGGGACUGUGUCUGCACUCUCCCCUA